AUUGAACGCUGGCGGCAUGCUUUACACAUGCAAGUCGAACGGUAACAGGCCUUCGGGUGCUGACGAGUGGCGAACGGGUGAGUAAUGCAUCGGAACGUGCCCAAUCGUGGGGGAUAACGUAGCGAAAGUUACGCUAAUACCGCAUAAGCCCUGAGGGGGAAAGCAGGGGAUCGCAAGACCUUGCGCGAAUGGAGCGGCCGAUGUCAGAUUAGCUAGUUGGUGGGGUAAAGCCUACCAAGGCGACGAUCUGUAGCGGGUCUGAGAGGAUGAUCCGCCACACUGGGACUGAGACACGGCCCAGACUCCUACGGGAGGCAGCAGUGGGGAAUUUUGGACAAUGGGGGCAACCCUGAUCCAGCCAUGCCGCGUGCGGGAAGAAGGCCUCGGUGUAACGCUU
rnacentral:rRNA from 1 species